AUUGAACGCUGGCGGCAUGCUUUACACAUGCAAGUCGAACGGUAACAGGCCGCAAGGUGCUGACGAGUGGCGAACGGGUGAGUAAUGCAUCGGAACGUGCCCAGUCGUGGGGGAUAACGCAGCGAAAGCUGCGCUAAUACCGCAUACGAUCUAUGGAUGAAAGCGGGGGACCGUAAGGCCUCGCGCGAUUGGAGCGGCCGAUGUCAGAUUAGGUAGUUGGUGGGGUAAAGGCUCACCAAGCCAACGAUCUGUAGCUGGUCUGAGAGGACGACCAGCCACACUGGGACUGAGACACGGCCCAGACUCCUACGGGAGGCAGCAGUGGGGAAUUUUGGACAAUGGGCGCAAGCCUGAUCCAGCAAUGCCGCGUGCAGGAAGAAGGCCUUCGGGUUGUAAACUGCUUUUGUACGGAACGAAAUGGUCCUGGUUAAUACCCGGGGCUAAUGACGGUACCGUAAGAAUAAGCACCGGCUAACUACGUGCCAGCAGCCGCCGCGGUAA
rnacentral:rRNA from 1 species